ACCGAACGCUGGCGGCAUGCCUAACACAUGCAAGUCGAACGAGACCUUCGGGUCUAGUGGCGCACGGGUGCGUAACGCGUGGGAACCUGCCCUUAGGUUCGGAAUAACUCCCCGAAAGGGGUGCUAAUACCGGAUAAUGUCUUCGGACCAAAGAUUUAUCGCCUUUGGAUGGGCCCGCGUUGGAUUAGCUAGUUGGUAGGGUAAAAGCCUACCAAGGCGACGAUCCAUAGCUGGUCUGAGAGGAUGAUCAGCCACACUGGGACUGAGACACGGCCCAGACUCCUACGGGAGGCAGCAGUGGGGAAUAUUGGACAAUGGGCGAAAGCCUGAUCCAGCAAUGCCGCGUGAGUGAUGAAGGCCUUAGGGUUGUAAAGCUCUUUUACCCGGGAUGAUAAUGACAGUACCGGGAGAAUAAGCGCCGGCUAACUCCGUG
rnacentral:rRNA from 1 species